GAUGAACGCUAGCGGCAGGCCUAACACAUGCAAGUCGAGGGGCAGCACAGAAACAGCAAUGUUUUGGUGGCGACCGGCGGACGGGUGCGUAACGCGUAUGCAACCUACCUUUAACAGGGGGAUAACGGAGAGAAAUUUCCACUAAUACCCCAUAACAUCGAUCAAGGCAUCUUGAUUGGUUGAAAACUCCGGUGGUUAAAGAUGGGCAUGCGUUGUAUUAGGUAGUUGGUGAGGUAAUGGAUCACCAAGCCUACGAUACAUAGGGGGACUGAGAGGUUAGCCCCCCACACUGGUACUGAGACACGGACCAGACUACUACGGGAGGCAGCAGUGAGGAAUAUUGGUCAAUGGGGGCAACCUUGAAUCAGCCAUGCCGCGUGCAGGAAGACGGCUCUAUGAGUUGUAAACUGCUUUUAAACAGGGAUAAAGCACAGUAUGUAUACUGUGUUGAAGGUACUGUAAGAAUAAGGAUCGGCUAACUCCGUGCCAGCCGCCGCAGUAA
rnacentral:rRNA from 1 species